rnacentral:rRNA from 1 species
GACGUAGGGGGCUAGCGUUGCUCGGAAUUACUGGGCGUAAAGCGCACGUAGGCGGCUUUCUAAGUCGGGGGUGAAAUCCUGGAGCUCAACUCCAGAACUGCCUUCGAUACUGGAAAGCUCGAGUCCGGGAGAGGUGAGUGGAACUGCGAGUGUAGAGGUGAAAUUCGUAGAUAUUCGCAAGAACACCAGUGGCGAAGGCGGCUCACUGGCCCGGUACUGACGCUGAGGUGCGAAAGCGUGGGGAGCAAACAGG